GCCUGGAAAGCUCAGUUGGUUAGAGCACGGUGCUGAUAAAUGCCAAGGUUGCAAGUUUGAUCCCUGUAUGGGACA